CCUUUUUGGCCUUAUCGUCUCCGAGAAAAGAAAUCCCAAAUCCUCCGCCGCCGGUAAUCCCAAACUCUCGAAGUCUCGAUCAGGAAACCGCAGAGAAAAGCGGAAGCCGAGCGGUGCAAGCAAAGCUUGGCCUCCUCGAUUCCCUCCCCACUCAUCCCCAUCAAAUCAAAAAUUCGAAAAUCAAAAGGACACCCAAUCUAAUCGCCGGUUCGCCGGCGGAGGAAUCCGGAGCCGAGCCUAUCCGAUCGGAGCGGGACGGAGCGGGGCGGGGCCGGUCCCCUGCGGCAUUUCGUCCCCACUUGGGGGACGCUGUGUGGAACCGCGGGUGCGGGGGGCGCCCACGGGCCUGUCGCGCAGCGCGGCGCCUCGUUGCGCGUGCCCGCCCGCAGUCAGCUCCGUAACUCCCGCGUCCGGCGUCCGCUGCAAUGCGCGCUAAAGGCUUUCGCUCGCUAAAGGCUUUUCCCUGUGUGCGCUGCGAAUUGGCCUGACUGCUUUGAGUUUUGUCCAAGUUUGGAUGGGCCAGAUGGUUUCGGAUGACAAUUUCGAAGAACAAGCGGUCCGCGACGGUGGGAUCAUUAAGAAUGGAAGGGAAAUCUUAUUCCAGUCAUCACUUAGGCUUACGGGAAUCCCAUAAGCUCAACUGGUGGAAUAAUUUAGAGGAUAAAGUUACCGACCUGGCAAAAUCUGGGUUUACAUCUGCAUGACUCCCUCCACCGACACAGUCAUUAUCUCUGGAAGGUUAUCUACCGCAGAACCUGUACUGUCUUGACUCUUGUUAUGGUUCCCUCCACGAGUUAAAAGUGUUGCUUCAGGAAAUGAAUGAACACAAUGUAAGGGCUAUGGCAGAUGUUGUUAUUAACCAUCGAAUCGGGACUACUCAAGGAUCCAAUGGGAUGUAUAAUAGUUAUGAUGGUAUCCCAAUAUCAUGGGAUGAAAAUGCUGCUACAUCUUGUUCUGGUGGCAAGGUAACUAAAUUGUCUUGUUUUAUGCAAGAUAUUUAGGUUUUAAUCUUCUACUUGCCACCAUAUCUUGUUGGAUCAGUUCUACUAUUAAGCUGUACUGAACUUGCCUGCAACUUAAUUGUCUGGGAAAUAAAAGCACUGGGGAUAACUUCGAUGGGGUUCCCAACAUAGAUCAUACACAGCUAUUUGUACAGAAAGAUAUUAUUGAAUGGCUGAUCUAGCUUUGAGAAACUGUUGGUUUCCAAGAUUUCCGCUUUGAUUUCACGAAAGGUUACGCAGCAAAGUUUGUGAAGGAAUACAUUGAAGAAUCAAAACCUCGUUUUGCGGUGGGGGAAUACUGGGAUAACUGUGAAUAUAGCCCCCCUGAUUACCGUCUAAACUACAAUCAGAAUUAUUAUCCCUUGUCAGGGUUGCCUCUUCAACUACUCUACUCCUACUCUAGGAACUAUGCCUGACAUGUUGGGAUUUAUUUACUAUUAUAACCAUAGGCAGAGAAUUAUUAAUUGGAUAGAUAGCACUGGAGGACUUUGUGCUGCGAUUGAUUUCACAAGAAAGGGCAUCCUUCAGGAAGCUGUCAAAGGUGAGUUGUGGCGUUUGCGAGACCCUGAAGGAAAGCCACCUGGUGUGAUGGGAUGGCGGUCUUCAAGAUCAGUUACGUUUAUUGAAAAUCAUGACACAGGGUCAACCCAGGUAUACUAGAGUUAUUUUUCUGUUCCUUUGGUUGAGGUAAAGCUUAACUGUGUAAAUAUUUGCCUGGGAGUGUUCAGAAUGUGCUAAGAGGAAAAUCUAAUAGAAAAGGUUCACAAUUUCAGGGUCAUUGACCUUUUACAUCUGACCAUGUUAUGGAGGUAAGGUAUGCUUUAUGGACUUUGUAUUGCUUCAUUUCUUCACAGUCCUCGUUUCAUCAGAAUCCAAUAAUAUGUAUUUAUGAAACUGAAUUACCAAAAUAGUUACCAUUGUGAUCUUGAAAAGGGUAAUUUCCUUUGCAACGGCUGUAGCAGGUUUUAACUCUUAAAAAGGUUCAGAGUCGCUGGUUCAGUCAAUAAUCCUGAACCGUGAAGACAUGAUACUCUCAUCAAUUGAUCAUUAAAAGAUGAACUUCCUAUUAACCUUUUCACUCCCUGAAUCAUUUGGUUUAGAGUUAGCUUGCUGUUCUUUUUUGGACAUCUAAUAGUUGAUUGACACAUGCAUAAUCUGAUUGUCCUCACCCACCCCAGGAUCCCCUCUGUGUUCUAUGAUCACUUUUAUGACCAGGGAGUUUCCUUCCAUGACGAAAUUGCUAAACUGAUGGAAAUCAGGAAAGUCAGAUAUACACAGCCGAUCCACAGUCAAAAUUUUGGAGGCGAGGUCAGACCUGUACUCCACAAUCAUAGAUGAUAAGUUGUGCAUGAAGAUCGGGGAUGGCUCGUGGUGCCCAAGCGACACUCAGUGGAGAUAGAUAUGCUGUGUGGCACAAUCCUGAACACGAGUAAUUAGCCUUUUAAUGAAUUGAAGACGUCAAGGGGCCCUUGUGCCAUAGCCAGGUUUGAACCUCAUAAAGAGUCCUCUUAACUGAACCACACCACGGUAGACAUGUUAGAAUAAGGCGCUUGUAGUUGUAGGUUCACCUGUGCAACAGAAAGAGUGGCUCCUGUGGUUGUCAGUGGAGCGGGUAGUUGCGUAAUGUGAGCUAGAAACAAUUGAUACGUGGCUGCACCAGAGAUGAGGAAAAUAGCACUAAUUGUAGUUAGUCGGGAUCACUUGUAUAAGAAUGUACAUAGGAUAAUAAGGUAUGUAAUCACGUCUAUGUGCAUUAUUUUAUUGUAAACUGGAAAUUUGAAUGUUUAUCAGAAAACACAGUCCCUUGGAAUUUGCACUUCGCA